AUUUUGGUAACAUGUUGAAUGAAUAUGUAAUAAAACUUUUGAUUGUGCAUAUUAUGCUAUUGUUGUAUUUUCUUGCCCUAGUUUAAAUGUGUUUUUCCUCAUCUUACUCCGAUUCCCUGUCAUUGUGACAUCACAGUCUUGAUGAUUAUGUUUCUCUUUGUCUUUGUCACUAAUUUCUUACCCGGCUACAGCAGGCAGCAUCUUAAAAACUGAACAGCAGUCAGUGAGGUGUCAAGUUCUCUUCUGCCGCAAUGUUUAUUUACAUUAAACAUGGAGAUAAUAACCAGUUCCUGGUUAACACCAACUGUCCAAUUGUUGUCCUCAUGAAGUACAUGAAAACCAGGUUGGGACUUGCUGAGUCAGAGCUUAUAGACCAGGAGAUGAACCAGGA
rnacentral:lncRNA from 1 species